UUGUGAAUUGUGAUAUGAUGCACUUAAUUCUCCGACAACGUAACUAUAUACUCACAUUAUAUAGUUUACAAUAUAACAUCACAUUAUUCACAUUAUCACAAGUUUACAAUCGUCAAUGUAUAUAUACGUACUCCGUAUAAAUAUAACAAAUUGACUAGUAAGAAUAUUAAUUUAACAUAUGAUGUGUAGGAUAUUCAUUAAAGGGUACGGUAGGCUCAAGUCCUGAAAGGCUCCGUUCAUGCAAACUCUUUUAUUUUACAACCAUAACUUGGACAACGUACAAUUGCCAAUACAUUACAUAGAGGUCGAAAUUCACAACAAGUCCAACAACAACAACAACAACAACAACAAAACGAUAACAAGAAACGGUUACAAGACCGAGCAAGCUAGAUAGAUAGUCACACACUCACACUCACGUACUCCCUAUCUUCGUCCAGGUUUAGUAACGUAAUAGUUCAAACUAACGUGACUAUUAAUUCUGGACAAGCAGAGUACACGACAUUGAGGGUUAUUCGUUUAAGCAUGUGUACAACAAAUACAUCUUCUACGAAUACCCUUGCAAUCUCCAGCUGGAUAUCCCUCAUACCUACAAGAAGUGUCACAGUUGGCGUUCCUUACACAAGGUCCCCUGAAUGUUUUACUUGGUGUUUUGCAUUUCUUCGAGCUGAAAAAUCCAGCGUCUGCCUUUCUUGGACCCAUUUCUUCUGCAAACAAA